CGGGGGUUACGGCAUGAGGCAAUAGUUCAACUGAAUCUCUGUGAUUAAGCAAAUUUCAUGUCUUUCGCUCCUAUCUGACGACCCCUG